rnacentral:ribozyme from 13 species
AAGAAUGGAAGAAAGGGAAAAAAGAGAGAAUUAAAGAAUAUGUCGAGAAAAUGUUUCCUCCUGUUGUACCUGAGACAGUUGUUCCCUCUUCUUCUCCACGACAGAUUGAAUCUUCUUCUUCUUCU